rnacentral:rRNA from 1 species
UACGAAGGGUGCAAGCGUUACUCGGAAUUACUGGGCGUAAAGCGUGCGUAGGUGGUUCGUUAAGUCUGAUGUGAAAGCCCUGGGCUCAACCUGGGAAUUGCAUUGGAUACUGGCGAGCUAGAGUGCGGUAGAGGAUAGUGGAAUUCCCGGUGUAGCAGUGAAAUGCGUAGAGAUCGGGAGGAACAUCUGUGGCGAAGGCGACUAUCUGGGCCAGCACUGACACUGAGGCACGAAAGCGUGGGGAGCAAACAGG